AAUUUUGCAUCAAAUAAAGUUUGAUUACCUACUGAAUUUAAGCAUAUUAAUAAGUAGAGGAAAAGAAAUUAAAAAAGAUAAGUUUAGUAAUGGCGAAUGAAGAACUUUGAGUUCAAAUUUAAAAUCUCAUUCUUCCUGAGAGGGGUGAGAAUUGUAGUUUUGGGUUCGUUGUUUUGAGGGCACACAUGUGUAUAAAGUUCUUUGGAAAAAGACAACCGAGAAGGUAAUAUUCCUGUGCAUGUAUACAUGUGGGUCACAACACAACAGCGAAUGUAGAGUCGAAUUGUUUGAGAUUGCAAUUUCAAGUAGGAGGUAUAUUUCUUCUAAAACUAAAUACAGGCAAAAGACCGAUAGCGAACAAGUACUGUGAAGGAAAGAUGAAAAGAACUCUGAAAAGAGAGUGAAAAGGAAUUGAAAUUGUUAAGAAGGAACGGAAAGAACAAAUGAAUUAUCGAGUUGUGUUUCUCGUUCGCGCUUGCGCAAAGCGGGAUAAUGACUUGAUAGCAUAUGAUGGAUUGCUGUGAGAUGAAAAGGCUGCGUAUCUGAUUCUCGGCUGCUUGUUCACUCAAGGAGAAGGGGAUAGGACGUGGAGAUAGUUUCACGGUGAUUGCGGAGAAAAUCGCAGUUGCAAGUAACCCUGGCAAUGUGCAGCUGUGUUGCGUUCGUAUUCAAAAGAAUAAGGGCGUGGCAUGGAGGUGCGUUUGUUGGUGGAGCUUACUCAGUGCGGUGAAAAUCAUAGAGUACAUUUGUUUUUUUUACUCGUCUUGAAACACGAACCAAGGAGUUUAAUUUGUGUGUGAGUUUUUUAUUUUUGCUAAAAAUAAAGGACGCAAUGAAAGUGAAUAAGUUUUUUAACGCUGCUACUGAUGGUGGCGGAAAGAAAAGGUAUUUCUAAUUUUGUAUCGUGGCUCGCACUGCGAUUAAGAAAUUAGAAGAUAACAAAAAUACACAAUUUAAAACCCGAAAUCUGGUGAUCUAUGCAUGAUUAACGUGAAGUUAGAAGAAAUUCUAAUGGAAGCGUGAAUUCAUUUUGACGUGCAAAUCAAUGAAGAGAAUUGUGUAUAGGGGCGAAAGACUAAUCGAACCAGAUUGUAGCUGGUUUCCUCCGAAGUUUCUCUUAGGAUAGCUGAAGUUCAUGAUGAUAGUUUUAAACAGUAAAGAUAAUGAUUAGAAGGUUAGUGGAAAUUGAAGUAUUCUACACUUAUUCUCAAACUUUAAAUGUUUAAGAUAAAGCGCAUUACCGAAAGGAAUGCGUUUUCGAGAAUAGCGAACUUUUAGUGGGCCUUGUUUGGUAAGCAGACUGGGCGAUGUAGGAUGAACUAAACGUCAAGUUAAAAUGUCAGAAUAGGUAUACGCAUAAAGAAACCAUAAAAGGUGUUGUUCAAUAUAGACAGCAUGACGGUGAUCAUGGAAGUAGAGAUCCGCUAAGAAGUGUGUAACAACUUACAUGUCGAAUUGAAUAGCCCUGAAAAUGGAUGACGCUAAGUAUAGGAAUAUUUAGACUUGACCUUCUGUGUUGUAGACGGAUGCUACACAGAAGAGUAGGAGGAUAUGUUUUUAGUGGCGAAGCAUCUCUGUGAGGGGGUGUGGAACUGAAAAUAGUGCAGAUCUUGGUAAUAGUAGCAAAUAUUUAAUUGAGAAAAUUAAAGAUUGAAGAAGAAAAUGGUUCCUCAAGAAGUGUAAUACGUUGAGGGUGAGUCGAUUUUAAGGAGAAAAUUGAGAUAGAUUGAAAUGCGUACUAUUCAUCCAAUGGAGAGUAUGUGAAUCCAAAAAAGAAACAGGUUAAAAUUCCUGUACUUGAACAAGGGUUUCGUUUAGAAAAUGGCGACAUAAAAUUCAUUUGAAGAUAUUAAUGGACAAUUUGUCAAGAGAUUUCUUUUCUUGUUAAUAAUCGAAGCGUGCUUGCAUGCGUCAAAAAUUACUCUGAAAUUGAAUCACUCAGAGAAAGAGUAAUUGGGAUUAAAAAAAUAUACCUCACUUUUUAAAGGUAUAUACAAAUUUGUCCAGUAAUCCAUGAAAAUUCAAAGAAUUGAUUUUUUUUGCAAAAGAAAAAGAACUGCUUGUUAAAUCGUACAAAUAACCGCAACAGGUUUCUAAGGUUAAGAACCUCUAAUUUGAAAGAAAAAUGUAGAAAAGGGAAGUCGACAAAAUAGACUUGUAACUUUGGGAGAAAAGUUGGCUCUGAAGGUAGGAGGGGUGGAAGUAUAGUGCAGGAAGCGAUUCGGCUCGGGGUUGCUCGAGACGAGUUUGAUGUAAUGAUUACUCUUCGGGGGAAAGUUGAAAAACUCGUUUUAGGCAAUUCCAACGGCUGGAAAGUGGAGCGUACUAUGAGACGGUCAUGGAGCGCUUGCGUGAAAUGAAAACUCAUAAUGGAAACCCCAACGUCAAUGCUUUAACGAGUAGGGACACAUAUCUAUCAAUUCAGAACUGUUACAAUCUAAUGGAAUCCGACUGUUUAAUUAAAACAGAGCUUUCUGAUAGUCUCUUAGAGAUGUUUACAGAAAGUGAAUUCUGCUCAGUGCUCUGAAUGUUAAUCUGAAGAGAUUCAAGUAAGCGCGAGUCAACAGCGGAAGUAACUAUGACUUUCUUAAGGUAGCCAAAUGCCUCGUCGUCUAAUUAGCGACGUGCAUGAAUGGAUCAACGAGAUUCCAAUUGUCCCUUUCUACCAUCUUGCGAAACUGCAGCGAAGGGAACGGACUUCGUAAAUACAUUGGGGAAAGAAGACCCUCUUGAGCUUGACCGUAAGCUGAGUUUGUGAAGUGUUUUCGAAGGUGUAGCGUAGGUGGGAGCUUUCGGGCGACAAUGAAACACCACUACUUCGACAAAUACUUCACUUAGAAAAUUGAUUGUUAAGAUAUAUUCGUUUUCGUGAUGGGUAUUGUAUUCUUCCAACAUAAAGCCUGCAGUUCACUGCGGGUGAGACAUAUUUUCAACAUUCUUAGCUGGGCAGUUUGGCUGGGGCGGCAUACUUUCUAAAAAAUAACGAAAGUGUCCAAAGAUGAACUCCACUAGAACAGAAAUCUAGUUUUGAAGAAAAGGCUAAAAGUUUGUUUAAAAUUAAUUUUCAGUAAGAAUUAGUUUGAUGAAAGUCAGGCCUAUCGAUCCUUUUUGUGUUUGAAAAUAUCAAAAAAGAGGUGUCAGAAAAGUUACCAAAGGGAUAACUGGCUUGUGGCGGCUAAGCGAUCGAAGCGACGCCGCUUUUUGAUUCUUCGAUGUCGGCUCUUCUUACCAUUUUGAAGCAGAAUUCAAAAAGUGUUAGAUUGUUCACCUAUUAAAAAGGAACGUGAGCUGGGUUUAGACCGUCGUGAGACAGGUUAGUUUUACCCCUGUGUAUAAGAGGGUUUUUAGGACUAGUAAAGUGAAGGACAUCAUAAAAGUAAUGUGCUCCAGUACGAGAGGAACCAGCACAUCAAGCCUAUAGUAAUGCGUUUGUUCGACAGAACAGUGACGCAAAGCCACGCUUGUGAGAUAAAACCUGAACGCCUCUUAAGGUUGAAUCUUUGCUCGAAAUAAUGAUGUCGCGUAUGUUACCAUUGGGAUGCUUGU
rnacentral:rRNA from 1 species